ACAGCUUCUCGGCCUUUUGGCUAAGAUCAAGUGUAGUAUCUGUUCUUCUUCUUCUUCUUAUUAUUAUUAUUAUUUUCAUGCUGGUGGGGAUGGGUGCUGCAUGGAGGAUUCAGGUGUACCAGGGCUUUCCGGGGCUGGUUCUGAGGAAUCAGCUCGACGGCUGCCCCGAUGUGACCUGUUCCC